GAACAGAAGGGACAAAUCCCCCCAGGUGCCUCUGGGGACCGUCUGGACUUUUCUGCUGUCACAAUGAAUUAGGAUGGGUGAGGCCCAGGUGGGGCGGGAUGGGGUAUUUGGGGUUUAGGGGGUGGGAUGGGAUAUUUUGGGUCUCUGUGAGAUGUCUCACACCUCACUGGGAGCACCUGGAGAGAAGAAAUGUGGAUUUGGGGCUGUUCCUGUGACAAUGACCUCGGCACACACUGUCCUGCUGUGGCCUUGGAUAUGGGAUGGAUUUGGGGACAGCAGGAGGGAGGAGGAGAAAACCCUCAGGAUGCGGGGGAGACCCAGGGAGGGAGGGAGGAGGUAAAACCCUUCAGCUCCUGCAGGCACGGAGGGGCCAGCUGGGUGUUCAGGGUCAGUGUGGUGUUCAGGGUCAGUUUGGUGUUCAGGGUCAGUUGGGUGUUUGUUUAGGGUCAGUUGGUGUUUGUUUAGGGUCAGUUUGGGUUUAGGGGCUGGCAUUGCUGGGGAGCAGCAGCUUUGGGGUGUCCCAGGCAUUCUCCAGGCCCAGUGAGGGAUCAGGAGAACACUCAGGAGGUUCAGCUCCUUCAGGAAGGGAGCACUGGGGGGUUUAUUGAUCAGAUCUGCUCCAGGGACUCAUUCCCUGCUGGGGCACCUCUGCGAGGCUCCUGCAUUUCCAACAAGCAGCUUUUGAGCAGGAAAGCAGGAGGGAUUCAGGAGCAGGACCGUGAGUCUGGCUUUCCUGGUGUCUGCUCUGGGAUCGGGAGGGACUUUGCUCCAAGCUCCUGAAGGAUUUGGGCGUCAGCAGCUGACACCUGAUCGCUUUAGGAGAGGAGGCACCUGUGGACCAGGCAGGGUCGGGAAUGUACAGCAGGAAAAUCACACAAAAGUCCUUCUGUGGAAAGCCAGCAGGGGCACUUUGGUGACAGGGGAGGGGACACCAGCAAGGGAAGCAAGGAGGGCACAGAACGGUGGGGGGCUCACGGAGCGGUUUGGGGCCCCAAAGGCGCCCAGUGCCAGCCUGGCCCGGGCAGAGGAGCGGCAGCAGAGCCCCUGGCCCCGCUUGGCGCAGCAGAGGCGGCUCCCGUGGCCCUCCGAGGAUGCGGGGGGAGGUUUUCCUCACCGCCGUUCCCUCCUUUCCCAGGCUGGGCGCUCAGCUGUUC
rnacentral:lncRNA from 12 species